rnacentral:rRNA from 1 species
UACGAAGGGGGCUAGCGUUGUUCAGAAUUACUGGGCGUAAAGCGCUCGCAGGCGGAUUGAUAAGUCGGGGGUGAAAUCCCGGGGCUCAACCUCGGAAUUGCCUUCGAUACUGUCUAUCUAGAGUCCGGGAGAGGUGAGUGGAAUUCCUAGUGUAGAGGUGAAAUUCGUAGAUAUCAGGAGGAACACCUGUGGCGAAGGCGGCCCUCUGGACGGAUACUGACGCUGAGGAGCGAAAGCGUGGGGAGCGAACAGG